CGGAGGUUGCAGUGAGUCCAGAUCGUGCCACUGCACUCCAGCCUGGCAGCAGAGUGAGACUCCAUCUCAAAAAAAAAAAAAAAAAAAAAAAGACAGGUCAGGUCAGGCGGUGGUGCUGGGUGGUAGGGGAGUGUGAUCUCUACCAUGGCAUAGUCCGGGAUUCAAACCCUCUGUCUACUGCCUCCUUGCCAUAAGACCUUCAGAAGAGGAUUUAAUCUCUCCUGCCUCAGUUUUUCUUUCUGUAACGUAGUAACCAUCUGGUAGGGCUGUUGGGCAAAUUCAGUCAGAUGAUGCAGGUGAAGUAUUUUGAAGCCUCAAUAACUGUUAUUAUCAUUCUUAAGAUGCUGCCAGGGCUUAGCACACAGAAGUUGCUCAAUAAAUGGGAAUGGUUAUAAUAGCAUUAGUGGUAUCUGAAGUAGACAGGGAAUUAUCUGCUUCCCCUCCCACUCCCAUGGGCCAGGUGCUUCCCAACCACAUCCUUCUCUGUCUCCUCCCGUCCUCAAUUUCUUCCUAAGAUUACCUUUCCUAAGAAUUCUUGAAUCCCCACUUGCAUGCACAUAACAGAAGCUCAGCGAUCAGGUGGCGUCAGGGGAACUGAAAAACCCUUUUUCCCAAACUCCUGUUCCUCAUCCUGCUCCUGCCAGUCUGAUGUCACCACAAUUUGAUUACCUCUGGGCCAGAGAGCUCACUACCUACCAUGCAGGUCAGAGUUGAAAGCUCUGUCUUUAAAACUCCCUUGAAAUUCUAACAGCGGGAGGAAGUUCGAGGUUUGAUUCCUGCUUGACAGAUGAGGAAGCUGAAGGCCAGAGAGGUUGAGCAACUUGUCCAUUUCAGCACUUGGUUAAGGAGGGAUUUGAACCCGGGGCUGACCUUCUGUCUCCAGGGCCAGUGGCAGCCCGUCUUCUAUGGACACCUCCUGCCCACGAUCACUGCCUCUGCUCAUGCCCUUACCUCCCCACCCAUCCCGUUCCACCUUCCUUUGGAAAUUUCCCUCAAUGACCCCCCUAUUCUGACAAAAGCUAAGAUUUAGCUCGAUAAUGCCUGGCCCAGCUCCAAGGACAUCACAAAAAUGAACAGGCUUUCCAGGCAUAAACACCUUUCUGAAAUCACUUUUCCAGAACUCCCUCCAUGCUGUAGAGGUUACUAGCAAAGCUUUCCACAUCAUUUCUCCCCAGAGCCCCGUGAGGGGAGUGUGUCUGGGUGGGAGGCUGUCUUCGUCUCACAGAUGAGAAAAUGAGGAAGAGAAGGGUUAAGAAACUUGCAUGGGUACAGUGGCUCACAUCUCUAAUCCCAGCACUUUGGGAGGCCGAGGCAGGCAGAUCACCUGAGGACAGGAGUUCGAGACCAGCCCAGCCAACAUGGUGAAACCCCAUCUGUACUAAAAACACAAAAAUUAUCCAGGUGUGGUGGCGGGUGCCUGUAAUCCCAGCUACUCAGGAGGCUGAGGCAGGAAAAUCACUUGAACCCGGGAGGCAGAGGUUGCGGCGAGCCGAUAAUUGCACCACUGCACUCCAGCCUAGGCAAGAGAGCGAGGCUCCAUCUCAAAAAACAGAAAACAGGCCGGGCGC
rnacentral:lncRNA from 10 species